rnacentral:rRNA from 1 species
GGCAGUUAGAGGCGAUGAAGGACGUGUAAGUCUGCGAAAAGCUGUGGUGAGCCGACAAAAUGCAUUUGAGCCACAGAUGUCCGAAUGGGGAAACCCACCUGUUUACAGGUAUCGUUAACUGAAUACAUAGGUUAACGAGGCAAACGAGGGGAACUGAAACAUCUAAGUACCCGGAGGAAAAGAAAUCAACCGAGAUUCCCUUAGUAGCGGCGAGCGAACGGGGACCAGCCGAAUCAGUGUGGUGUAGUGGAAGGCUCUGGAAAGUGCCGGCACAGAGGGUGAUACCCCCGUACGCGAAACACCGCAUUGGACACAUUAAGUAGGGCGGGGCACGUGAAACCUUGUCUGAACAUGGGGGGACCAUCCUCCAAGGCUAAAUACUCCUAACUGACCGAUAGUGAACCAGUACCGUGAGGGAAAGGUGAAAAGCACCCCGACGAGGGGAGUGAAACAGACCCUGAAACUGGACGCCUACAAGCAGUCGGAGGGCGAAAGCCUGACGGCGUACCUUUUGUAUAAUGGGUCAGCGACUUCGUCUCACGUGCAAGCUUAAGCCGAUAGGUGUAGGCGCAGCGAAAGCGAGUCUGAAUAGGGCGAUUGAGUACGUGGGAUGAGACCCGAAGCCGAGUGAUCUAGCCAUGGGCAGGUUGAAGG